GGAUUAGCUCAGUUGGCAGAGCGCGUGCUUAGCAUGCACGAGGUCUGGGGUUCGAUUCCCCAAUUCUC
rnacentral:ncRNA from 12 species